ACAGAUGCAAUUUACGUGCAUUUCGCAUCCGUCCAAUCCGUUUAAUCCGAGAUUAAAAACGAGGAAUCCGCACGGUCGAACGACUACACGCCUACACCUUUCGCCGAUGAUGGCGACGGUCUAAAUUUAAAUGCGCGGCUAGGGUAAAUAUUUGCGAUACCCGUUUCAAAACCAACGUUACCGGUCCCGACGUGUCGUGAUAUAAGAGGAACAUCGAUUCACGGAAUCCGAAUCAGAAGAAAUUCACUUAAGAGUCGAUCAAGAAUGAAGGAUUCGACAUCCACGCAACACGUUUCUUUUUGUGCGCGAGUACAGGGAUAAACUUGACGAAUGUAUCGACGAUAAAAAAAAUUGUAUCAUAAUGUCGCGUAAUGUUCGUUGCGAAUAAUACUGUUGUGCCGUGGAUUCCGUAACAACUUUCAUAACAUCACCGAAUUAUCAAAAUUGAAGAUCGUGCUCUUUUGGAAGAACUAUUCUAAUGUUUAACUUCAUUCGGCUUUCAGCUUCCACGAAGAAUCCACGCGCUGCGGCCCCGGUCUCCACCACUUCUGCAUCUCGGCUCCGGAGAGUUGCGAUUUAAUCGUGGCCAAUGCGGUGCACCACGUCGGCGACGGGGCUCGUUUUCGCCGCGGGGAGUUUCUCCUUGAGAACAAUACCGACUGAUUUUUCAAAUAACCAGAUGGACCAGAAUCACGUUAGCUGUUCGAACUCGUUUUUAAAAACAUGCUCUACCUACCUAAAGGCUAUAUAAUUUCCACGACUUUCAUUAAUUUCAUUCAAAAAAAAAAAAAAAAAUUGUAAAUAGUCUUCAAGUACGAAUAAAUCUGUGUGCGAACAUUGCACACCAAAAUGUGUCGUGGUUUCCUUAGAAAAAAGUCUCGAAAAAGUCGAUCUUUUCAAGCCGGAUUACCUUGAAAGCAAAACGAACCAUGCAUUUUCAUAGCAGAGAUUAAUUCAAGAAUAUAAUCGAAACAAAUGUUCAUACUCGAUUUCGUUAUCUUUUCAACUCGACGUUUCAUUUCCUACUCGGCUGUACCACCUGUCCUGAGACAUCCUGUAGCUUGAUCGAAACCCAGAUUAAACCCUUGUACACUUGAUUGAGAUUCAGGGUGGCACCACAAGGAAUCUCGAUGUCUGAAAUAUCGGAGGGCGAGCUUCGAGGGCGUGAUAUAAUCCAUGCGAAAGCGAUAAUCGUCUUACAACUUUUGUUGUCCACUGUACGCGGGGGCAAAUCACGAAAACACGUGCCCACGUAAUACUUCUCUCCUACAAUGCAAUUCUCUAUUCACCCGCACGCGACACGCUCCUCUUCCUCUUUCAUUUCGCACCGCGAAAUAUUCCACGUCCGUGUGUGUGUGUCUCUCUCUCUCUCUCUCUCUUUCGCCGGUGUUUCCUUUUUUCUUCUCCUUUUUCGCUUCAAUUUUUUUUUCUCCCCCCUUCUUCACUCCGCCGUCCUUUGAAAUCGCACGCGCGCAACGCCACGGCAUUCGCAUUCAUCUGAAUCCCGCGGAUCUUUUUGUUCGAAAUAAUCCGCGCUCGAACAGCAAACACGUGCGGCAAACAACAAUUCGAUUGAAAACCGAGCGCGAAUCGCAUGGCUAACUGGCUAUUUCCGGUAAGAAUGAAUGAUGGGGCAAAGGAAAAGGAAGAAAGAAGAG